AUUGAACGCUGGCGGCAGGCCUAACACAUGCAAGUCGAGCGGAUGAAGGGAGCUUGCUCCUGGAUUCAGCGGCGGACGGGUGAGUAAUGCCUAGGAAUCUGCCUGGUAGUGGGGGAUAACGUCCGGAAACGGGCGCUAAUACCGCAUACGUCCUGAGGGAGAAAGUGGGGGAUCUUCGGACCUCACGCUAUCAGAUGAGCCUAGGUCGGAUUAGCUAGUUGGUGGGGUAAAGGCCUACCAAGGCGACGAUCCGUAACUGGUCUGAGAGGAUGAUCAGUCAAACUGGAAAGGAAAAACGGUCCAAAACCCUAGGGGAGGCAGCGGGGGGAAAAUUUGGAAAAGGGGCGAAAGCCUGAUCCAGCCAGGCCGGGGGGGGGAAGAAGGUCUGCGGAUUGUAAAGCAAUUUAAGUUGGGAGGAAGGGGAGUAAGUUAAAACCUUGCUGUUUGGACGUUACCAAAAAAAUAAGCACCGGCUAACUUCGG
rnacentral:rRNA from 1 species